CUCAUGGUUUCACGGUAUUGCAAUGAGAACAAUUUAAAACCCUUAGCGAGAAUCAAGUGGAGGACAAGUCUGGUGCCAGCACCCGCGGUAAUUCCAGCUCCACUAGCGUAUAUUAAAGUUGUUGCAGUUAAAAAGCUCGUAGUUGAACCUCUGUCUGGGGCUAGUUUUGGCUUUGGUCAGGCUAGUUCUAGGCAUCCGCCUACAAGACUUAGAGGGCAUUCAGUUGUUCACUAGGAGGAGUAGGCAUUUUACUUUGAAAAAAUUAGAGUGUUUAAGGCAGGCAAUCGCCCGCAUAUAUUAGCAUGGAAUAAUAGAAUAGGACACUUUUCCAUUUCGUUGGUUAUUGGAAUCGUGUAAUGAUUAAUAGGGACAGUUGUGGGCAUUUGUAUUUAAUUGUCAGAGGUGAAAUUCUUGGAUUUAUUAAAGACAAACUAACGCGAAAGCAUUUGCCAAGGAUGUUUUCAUUAAUCAAGAACGAAAGUUAGGGGAUCAAAGACGAUCAGAUACCGUCCUAGUCUUAACUAUAAACUAUUCCGACUCAAUGUUUGACUGGCUUAUAUAACCAGUUGAGCGUUGUAUGAGAAAUCUAAGUCUUUAGGUUCUGGGGGGAUAUGGUUGCAAAGCUGAAACUUAAAGGAAUUGACGGAAGAGCACAACCAGGAGUGGAUUCUGCGGCUUAAUUUGACUCAACACGGGGAAACUUACCAGGUUAAAACAAUAGUGGGAUUGACAGUUUGAGAGCGCUUUCUUGAUUGGUUGGGUGGUGGUGCAUGGCCGUUCUUAGUUGGUGGAGUGAUUUGUCUGCUUAAUUGCGUUAACGAACGAGACCUUAACCUGCUUACUAGACUGGCGAUCAUCAAUCGUUAGCUCUUCUUAGAGGGACUUUGGUUGUUUUAACUCCAAGGAAGUUUGAGGCAAUAACAGGUCUGUGAUGCCCUUAGAUAUCCUGGGCCGCACGCGUCAUACAAUGACUAGUUCAGAAAGUUUUCUCCUGACCCGAAAGGGGAUGGGUAAUCUUGAUAAUACUAGUCGUGUUAGGGAUCGAUCUUUGCAAUUAUAGAUCUUGAACGAGGAAUUCCUAGUAAGUGCGGUUCAUCAGACCGUACUGAUUACGUCCCUGCUCUUUGUACACACCGCCCGUCGCUUCUACCGAGUGGGUGGUCCGGUGAGAUAAUUGAACUUCGCAGGUAACUGAGAGGAAAGAUUAUCAAACCUAUCCACCU
rnacentral:rRNA from 1 species